AGCCGGGGGCCCGCGCGUGGGCCGCCAGAGCUUGAGGCCCGCCUGGCGGGUGCUGCGGUCCGCGUGCGGGAAGGCGCGUGGGCGUGUCUCCCGGGCCCACGCGUGUCCCCUGCAUCACUGUCUCGGCUCUCGUCCAGGACGACGACUUCUGAAAGCGAGCCAAGGAGAAUCGCGGUUUGUAACAGAGCCUCUGACUGCCUGUUGGAAGGAGGUGAUUCGGAAGACAGCGAGAGUCUUCAGUGACUUGUCUCCUCAAGGCUUCAGAACAUUCAGGAAUGUUCCCUUCUCUGAGCUGGGAGAGCAGAGAAGCCGAAGCAUCAAGAGAUUGGCCCCAGGUCAAACCACUGCUCGCUCCUUCAGCUAGGGCUUCAUACAUACUAGAGUGAUUAAUUUCACUUUCAGUGCCUUCCUUCCCGAGCUGGAGUGCUUCUGUAGAGACUCCUAAUUCGGUGAAACCUGUUUAGGGGAUCAUCCCUGCUAGACAGACAGCUGCGAGAGGGCAUUCGCUUCCCAGCAUGGAUUUCAGAUUAUGGCCAAUCAAGAGCCGGAGCUAAGGAACACCUGUCAACGGCGCUUGCUACAAGGAGACCAGCUCUUUAAUCGAAUUUCAUUGUACUUCAGAAAAAGGUUUAUUUUAAAUGUGGCGUCUGCUUUUAUGAUUCAUCCUUCUCAGCUGAGACAUCAAUUUGGGGCUUAUUUAUGAUGUUGUUCUAGGGUGAAACAAGACACUGCAAGAAAGUAUUUCAAAAAGGCAGCCUUUCCCAGACAUGCAGUUUGCAGCUUUCCUCGUGUGGAAAAUAAAAAAGAAAUUUAAAACGUUAGUUUUGAGCUUUUGUGUGUGAAUGUAAUUAGCGAUAGGGAUUCUUUUGAGCACACUUUCAGAAUAUUGAAGCCGGAUGGUAAAUGCUCCUGGUGACGUCUGGGGAACUUUCCCUGUGGAAAUCUGUUCCGCUGAUCUGUGAGCAGGGCAAACCAUCAUUGAUACUGACAGGUUCCGAAAGGCCGUGCUAGGCUUUCAGCUUGGCCCUAAUUGGAGGCCCCGCUAAGCCCAUAAUACCAGGUACUUUCUCACAGCUGCAGACCGUGAGUGUAACUAUCAGAAGACAAACUUCACUGCGCAAACUGUAAUUUAAUGGUAUAACUGUGUACAGCCCAGACUAUCAGUUAAUUUUCAAAACAUUUUAUUCUACAGCAAUUAGCUCAGGUCCUGGAGGGCAAAAUGACAAGAGGUUACUCGUUCACUAUGUAUUUAAUUAAUUGAAAAAUGCUCCAAUUGCCUUUACAGUUGUUAUUAGAGAGUGGAAUCAGUGUUGCCAGCGCUCAACCAUAAUUGGAACCCCAGGGAAUUAAAUAUUUAGCAUUAGUAAUGUAACAGCACUUAGGACACAAAUUUCUAUUUUCGUAAUGAAAGCUAUACACUGUGAGUGCACGCGGCUGAAAGGACAGCUGUGACAAGCGAAGCGGCCUGGGACAUUUCAAUAAGACACCUCAUUGGACAGCAAGUCUCACCACAUUACAUGUUCGUAAGAGACCUGCAAGUUUAAUUCCCACGAGGAACUCAGAGCCCAAGUCUUUAGCGUCCUAAUUGCAUGCAGGAUGAACGGUUGGGCAAAUGUCUUGCUGUAAGUGGCUGAAAUUCAUCCUGCUUUCUAAAUAAUCGCAUAUAAGUUCGUGCCUUUGUCAAUUUAAAAAUACUGGGACUGUCAGGGAAUAAGGAUCUUGUUUGUUUUCCAUUUAAUUAUAUUUUAAGCACACAUGCUUUCUGUGCUACAAUGAGAAAAGUUGGAUAUUGGGCUCUAAUGAGCUGCAGUGCUAGACGCUGGAGACCCUGAGGGAUUCACUCCGUAAAUUAGCUGGAUAAAAAGUACUUGGUUAGGAUAUAGUUGAUGGCUGAGCUGUUCGUAGAACCAGUUACAGCACUGUCUCUCACUCCUGUUUCAUUCUAAACAGGCCCUGUAGAGACUUUAACAGCUGCCUGUUAAAGCUGCUCAACUUGUCAAAAUGUAUUAUAUUACUCCACUAAUAAAUAGUAUUAAAGGGUAUUUGACUUCACCUCUCCUUUUCCGAGGGGAUCAGGUUGAUAAACACAACUGGCUUAGGCUGGCCUUAUUUUAAUUUGUUUAUGUCAGCUAAGUAAUAUUGAAGGGCCAUGUUUUAAAUUUGCAAAAAUUACCUUCCUGGGAAGGCAGGCCUUCCAAAAUAUGAUAUACAGUGGGAACAAGGAAUUGAGACACUUAUUGUAGAAUAUUUGUCAGACAUAGAAAGAGGUCUGACUUUGACUUUCACGUUCGAAGAACUUGAGAGCCUGUGGGUGAACUGACAUUCUCGGAAGGGUUGGUUCCUUUGCAUUUAUCAUGUCCAGAAAAAUAAAAAUUAAAUAAAUAAUGUCACAACUUCCUUUUGA